UACAGAGGUCUCAAGCGUUGUUCGGAUUCAUUGGGCGUAAAGGGCGUGUAGGUGGCGCCGUAAGUCGGGUGUGAAAUUUCGGAGCUUAACUCCGUAACUGCAUUCGAUACUGCCGUGCUUGAGGACUGGAGAGGAGACUGGAAUUUACGGUGUAGCAGUGAAAUGCGUAGAUAUCGUAAGGAAGACCAGUGGCGAAGGCGGGUCUCUGGACAGUUCCUGACGCUGAGACACGAAGGCCAGGGGAGCAAACGGG
rnacentral:rRNA from 1 species